UUUGGUGUACUUUACACAAAACUACAUGGAUUUGAGUGUAGGGCCGAGAAUUAGAAUUCAAGGCAUUCACGAUGUGUUUUAAGAAUCAAUGUUCUUUUUACCGAUAGCGCUACAAGUGGGGCACACACAGCUGGCCAAAUUUCUCCUGCUAAACCAAAAACGAACUUCCUAUUCGAUGUUUAGGUGAUGAUCGCUGUGCUAGAUUAGAGUGUAAACAAACCAACCGACCCACCGCCGCAGCCGGAGAAUGUUUCUUCUCGAAUGUUUGUUUCGCUUAAAGUACUUUGGUUCCUUUCUCGUUUCCCAAGAUAACAGCUUACGAAGUGCGUUGAAUAGUAUUUUUUGGCUAAGCUGCUUGUUUGGUGUAGUGUUUCUAUACUUCACGCGGCUCUUGAAGGGUUUAUUACGGUUGGGCCGACUGCAGGGCCGGAACUUUUCCCAGAUAACGCAGUAUCUAUGGAACAUAUGCUUCAACGCAACAGCAAUGCUGUUCCUGACGCUGUAUCGCAUAUUACUGAUCCGGCCUGAAGACGCCAGUAACAAAUACUUUCCCCAGUACAACAAUGUUAUCUUUGCCAGCACCUGUGACGCUGGUAAAUUUGAGGUCAUUACAUUAGUCCUGGUCUCUUUCGAGGUGGUCUCUGUGGUGCUCCAUCUAUCCAAGUGCGACUACUCGGAGGCAUUCUCAAAUGCGCUUUAUGGUACGCUGCUAAUGAGUUGCCUUUCGCUUCGCCUAGAGGCCUACAGCAUGCUGCUUAGCUUUUACGUGGCCAUGUACCGCGCCUGCCGGGAAUCGUUGCUGCUGUGUUCUAGUCAGAUGGACGCGGCAGCCCAUACACACCUUACGCUUGUAGUCACGGUAAAGAUAUGCACCUGGUGUUAUCUUUUCCUGAACCUUCUUCCGUUCGAAUUCCUCAUACCGACGCUGAACGCCCGUAAGGAUCAUUUUCCGUUGAAAGUAUGGUUUUGGUUCUGGUACUGCUCUUGUAUUUGGAACUCACCGCUACUGAAGCUCCUGUACCACAAAAUUUACCAUACGUACCCGUACGACUGUGCUGGUGGUGCUUCAGCCGUGCGCUGCAUAUUGUCAGACGAUUGGCAACGCUUUCGGCACUUUCGUAACUUGCAGCAUGCGUUUUACGAACUGAAGCUUCACCUUUCCAAGGAAAACAUGCACCCGACCCAUACCAACGAUAGCGCAAGCGCGCAAGCUACCGCAUUUCAGACUAUAAAAUGUGUGGUGGCGCUAAAGCGGAAACUGAAGCGACUACGGGAAAACCGAGAGCUGCAGCGCCUAAAGAAUGAGUAAUAUCUUUAGCUCGUCUUAGCUUGACGACGACGACGAGUUUAUUUUUUAAUUGCUGAGCAGACUGACACGAUCUCUCUUGCGUUAAGAUGCACCUUUCCGCGAGAUUACGGUACCAAUGGCUAAUAAGCCAACCUCCCGUUGUGGAAUGGUGGAGGUGAGAGUAUGUAAGGGUUUUGGUGCUUGUGAUUUCGUGGGCGAGUUUUCGCGUUUUAAAUCGAUCCUCAUACUGAAUUUAUGAUGCUGCUUCGAAACGGGACGAAUUAGAAAGGAUUUUACAAGUGUAAUGCAAAUUAAUUGGGAUAAAUUUGUUUAAUUUAAUAUCUUUUCCUAUUCUUCGACACAAGGAACUUCUCCAUUGGUUAGUUAUUAAAAGUGUACUAUCCGUUCAGCUCAUAAUGAGAAUAAUUACGCUCCAACGGGCUUUAUAAUUACGCACCAACGCUAUUCGUGAAUUGUGUUGGUCGCAUUUUCGCGUGUACUCUUCUAACAUUAUACCCAUUAGUCGCGUGUUCCUGUUCCUUAAUAAUUACAAUGCCUUUGAACUCUUGAAAACUGACCUCAAGCUCUGUAAGAAAAAAACAGACGGGCAGAUGCAUUGCAUUUACGAUUGCCUUAAUAUAAUAGAAAGUAGAGGGAAGAAAGCAGACGUGGGAAAGUGAAAAAUGUAACGAAAAUGAAGACGGAAAAACCUUGGAUUAUGCUAUGCUUCAAUAGCCAACUCCUGUUCACCAGUGCGGUGCAAGUUCAGCACAACGAGACAAUAAUGCAGAUGAGGAGAGAUGCUUGUGUUUGAUGGAAGAGAGAUGUAUGAGAAAAAUUUGCAUAUUACUUCCGACACUUCCUGACAUGGAUCUGGCUUAGCAGGAUGAAAGACGGGUUAAGAGUAAUGGUGCCAUUUGGUACAUUUGUUUGCUUGUUUUUGCUUGUUAAAGUAACUUAUUGCUUUCUUGCUAAAAUGAAUCAUCUGUAAUGAUAAUACUAUGUAUCCUUUAACAUGCCCGUUCACUGACUUGUCUCCCAACCAUCAACCCUACCGCUUUUAAGGCCUACGGCCCAGAGAUCGGUUCAGGGCCUCUCGAGCGCGUACGCAUCUUUCGCAUACACAUCAACAGC